UGGGGAAUUUUCCGCAAUGGGCGAAAGCCUGACGGAGCAAUGCCGCGUGGAGGUGGAAGGCCUACGGGUCGCCAACUUCUUUUCUCGGAGAAGAAAACAAUGACGGUAUCUGAGGAAUAAGCAUCGGCUAACUCUGUGCCAG
rnacentral:rRNA from 1 species